rnacentral:misc_RNA from 1 species
GAAAUGCGAUAAGUAGUGUGAAUUGCAGAAUUCAGUGAAUCAUCGAAUCUUUGAACGCACAUUGCGCCCCUUGGUAUUCCAUGGGGCAUGCCUGUUCGAGCGUCAUUUGUACCCUCAAGCUCUGCUUGGUGUUGGGUGUUUGUCCUCUCCUUGCGUUUGGACUCGCCUUAAAGCAAUUGGCAGCCAGUGUUUUGGUAUUGAAGCGCAGCACAUUUUGCGAUUCUAGCCGAUAAUACUUGCGUCCAUAAGCCUUUUUUAACUUUUGACCUCGGAUCAGGUAGGGAUACCCGCUGAACUUAA